rnacentral:tRNA from 2 species
GCCGGUAUAGCUCAGUUGGUAGAGCACCUGAUUUGUAAUCAGGGGGUCGCGGGUUCGAAUCCUGCUGCCGGCACCA